CUACGGGAGGCAGCAGUAGGGAAUCUUCCACAAUGGACGCAAGUCUGAUGGAGCAACGCCGCGUGAGUGAAGAAGGUCUUCGGAUCGUAAAACUCUGUUGUUAGAGAAGAACACGAGUGAGAGUAACUGUUCAUUCGAUGACGGUAUCUAACCAGCAAGUCACGGCUAACUACGUGCCAGCAGCCGCGGUAAU
rnacentral:rRNA from 1 species